UACGUAGGGUGCGAGCGUUAAUCGGAAUUACUGGGCGUAAAGCGUGCGCAGGCGGUUUUGUAAGCCAGAUGGGAAAUCCCCGGGCUUAACCUGGGAAUGGCAUUUGGGACUGCAAAGCUUGAGUGUGGCAGAGGGGACUGGAAUUCCUGGUGUAGCAGUGAAAUGCGUAGAGAUCAGGAGGAAUACCGAUGGCGAAGGCAGCCCCCUGGGAUAACACUGACGCUCAUGCACGAAAGCGUGGGGAGCAAACAGG
rnacentral:rRNA from 1 species